GAUGAACGCUGGCGGCGUGCCUAAUACAUGCAAGUCGAGCGAACAGACGAGGAGCUUGCUCCUCUGACGUUAGCGGCGGACGGGUGAGUAACACGUGGAUAACCUACCUAUAAGACUGGGAUAACUUCGGGAAACCGGAGCUAAUACCGGAUAAUAUAUUGAACCGCAUGGUUCAAUAGUGAAAGACGGUUUUGCUGUCACUUAUAGAUGGAUCCGCGCCGCAUUAGCUAGUUGGUAAGGUAACGGCUUACCAAGGCAACGAUGCGUAGCCGACCUGAGAGGGUGAUCGGCCACACUGGAACUGAGACACGGUCCAGACUCCUACGGGAGGCAGCAGUAGGGAAUCUUCCGCAAUGGGCGAAAGCCUGACGGAGCAACGCCGCGUGAGUGAUGAAGGUCUUCGGAUCGUAAAACUCUGUUAUUAGGGAAGAGCAAAUGUGUAAGUAACUAUGCACGUCUUGACGGUAUCUAAUCAGAAAGCCACGGCUAACUACGUG
rnacentral:rRNA from 1 species